rnacentral:tRNA from 1 species
AAAAUCGAUGGGGUUUGUGUUUCGGCCACGAAUGAGGCUGAAGGCCCGAUUUUUAU